GCACCUGAAUCUUUGCUGUCCCUUGCUGUGCAGUGCAGGUCUGGGGACAGUUGGUGCUACAGCACAGCAGUGGAAAUCCAGAUGGGUUGCUUUCCACUGCCUCGGGAUUCAUUGCUACACCUCUGCAACCCUU
rnacentral:snoRNA from 1 species